rnacentral:lncRNA from 1 species
AUGUAUUAUACAAUACGUGUACUGUGCACAGUAUGCAACUUUUCUGUAUGCAUGGUAUACCCUGAUGGCCUAGUACAUGUGUCAAAAAGUGCGGUAUACAAUACAUACAACAGAGGGUACUAUGUUGGAUACUGUAUACUGUAUUUCACAAUACAAUGCGCUCAAAACAUCUUUUUAAACUCAUUUUGGGAUUAUGCAGCUGUAUGUCUUAACAUUUUAACACAAAAUUCAGGGUAUACUGCAAAGUAUGUAUUCAGCCUACUGUUUCUCCUCAGAGAUUCAGAAAAUUGUCUAGAGGUUGUGCUGUGGUUAGGCGAUGUUAGUGCACAUGAUCUGAUAUACUGAGCUGUGAUGCUUAUAUGAUUCGAAUCCAGCUGGCAAACUUUCCAAAUCCCAUUCUUCCCUUUUUCCUGAGGUUGUAAAGAUUAUGAGAGGCUAUAAGGCCAGGAAAUUAUUUGAUUUGUUUAAUCAGUAUUACUUGGUUUAAACCCCUACAAAGUUUAUGUAUGUCUUUUAUUUUUAUUUUUAUUAUUUCUUGUUUUGUUUCUCUGUUAUAGUAUGUAUUAUUAAUAAGUAUGUCUCGGUCUGUAUGCCUAUAAUGUUCUGUUAAUGUUGAAAUGCAAAAAAUAAAUUUUCCACAUCAUUUCCUGUCCCCUCUCUAAUAUAUUCUAUAAAAAAGGGAGCAAAAUGGGAAGGAAAAAAACAAAGCUUAGUAGUAUACAUUUGAUCAUAAACUGAAAUGUCAAAACGUUCAAGUUAGCAGCUAUAAUCCACCACUAAUGGAAAAAACAAUUAUUUUAUUAUCAUAAAUUAGACCUGUAUUAUUCUGAUAAACAGUAUGAUUUAAGCACUGUUAAAAAACAAAGUGUGUCAAACCUUUUUCUGACAUGAAUCCGUUUUUUAUUUUUUUUAUUUCAGUCCGUUUCAAGUGCACGCGACGCCUGCGUGAUUGACAACACCGUGAACGCGCACCGCUUCACGAAAAUAUCUAACAUGAGUUUCAUUUUUAUUAGGUUACUUUCUCACUUAAACCGCCUGUUCUUGUCACCACUGCCGUUAAACCGUCUUUAUCACCCCAGUCCCUUAGAUAAAGCUUCAGUCGAGUGGGUUUGAAGACUUCUCAUUUAAAUACAUAUAUUACUGUAACAACUGGAACACAAGGAAAGGCGAUGAAUCAUAAACAAAGCGAUAAAUACAAACCCAAACUCCAGGUGCAGAACUAAGGGCGCUGCCAUGUUGCUGUAAAACCCGGAAAUAAUCACCUAUCUUCACCGGAAAUGACAUCUUCCUCUGAGGAGCCCAUUUGCUGUAGAGGGCGUUUC